rnacentral:rRNA from 1 species
GCUGAAUGUGGGGAUAAUUUAUCUCCGUGUUGAAGCUAACGCGUUAGCACUCCGCCUGGGGACUACGGUCGCAAGACUAAAACUCAAAGGAAUUGACGGGGACCCGCACAAGCGGUGGAGCAUGUGGUUUAAUUCGAUGCAACGCGAAAAACCUUACCACUCCUUGACAUGGAGAUUAGAUCCUUCUUAACGGAAGGGCGCAGUUCGGCUGGAUCUCGCACAGGUGCUGCAUGGCUGUCGUCAGCUCGUGUCGUGAGAUGUUGGGUUAAGUCCCGCAACGAGCGUAACCCUCAUCCUUAGUUGCCAGCGGGUAAUGCCGGGCACUUUAAGGAAACUGCCGGUGGUAAACUGGAGGAAGGUGGGGAUGAUGUCAAGUCAGCACGGCCCUUAUGGGGUGGGCUACACACGUGCUACAAUGGUGACUACAAUAGGUUGCAAUGUCGCAAGGCUGAGCUAAUCCGUAAAAGUCAUCUCAGUUCGGAUUGUCCUCUGCAACUCGAGGGCAUGAAGUCGGAAUCGCUAGUAAUCGUGGAUCAGCAUGCCACGGUGAAUACGUUCUCGGGUCUUGUACACACUGCCCGUCACGCCAUGGGAAUUGGCUUAACUCGAAGCUGGUGCGCUAACCGAAAGGAAGCAGCCAU